AGGACGAACGCUGGCGGCGUGCUUAACACAUGCAAGUCGAACGGAAAGGCCCUUCGGGGUACUCGAGUGGCGAACGGGUGAGUAACACGUGAGCAAUCUGCCCCUAGCUUUGGGAUAGCUCCGGGAAACCGGGAUUAAUACCAGAUAUUACUACGGCCGACAUCAGCUGUGGUGGAAAGAAUUUCGGCUAGGGAUGAGCUCGCGGCCUAUCAGCUUGUUGGUGGGUAAAGCCCACCAAGGCGACGACGGGUAGCCGGCCUGAGAGGGCGACCGGCCACACUGGGACUGAGACACGGCCCAGACUCCUACGGGAGGCAGCAGUGGGGAAUAUUGCGCAAUGGGCGAAAGCCUGACGCAGCGACGCCGCGUGCGGGAUGAAGGCCUUCGGUGUAACCGCUUUCAGCAGGGACGAAGCGAAGUGACGGUACCUGCAGAAGAAGCGCAGGCUAACUACGCGCCAGCAGCCGC
rnacentral:rRNA from 1 species